rnacentral:rRNA from 1 species
UACGUAGGGUGCAAGCGUUGUCCGGAAUUAUUGGGCGUAAAGAGCUCGUAGGCGGUCUGUCGCGUCGGCUGUGAAAACCCGGAGCUCAACUCCGGGCCUGCAGUCGAUACGGGCAGACUGGAGUUCGGCAGGGGAGACUGGAAUUCCUGGUGUAGCGGUGAAAUGCGCAGAUAUCAGGAGGAACACCGGUGGCGAAGGCGGGUCUCUGGGACGGUACUGACGCUAAGGUGCGAAAGCGUGGGGAGCGAACAGG